CAAGGCAGUAAUGGUGUAUGCCUUCUCUCAAAGUAUGUGGUAUUUUUUGUAUGAGGCAUAGUGGCAUUGCCUUCUCUCUCACCCCACUCUAAUAAGGUUUUGAUAUCUGGAGCUCAUAGGUGGGAGACAGCUAAUACAUACUUACAAGAUAUUUAUUGCAUAGUCAAACCAUGGAUCCAGAAGAACAAGUCAAUAAGUCAAUUCAAGAUGUGCAUGUGUGGCGAAUGAAUGGUGAUAAUGGUGAAAAUAAUGGUGAAAGUCUAAUUCUACUUUUGCUCUUUUGAGGGGGCACAUACCUUCCUUGCACUUGAGGCUUUUGAGGGGAAUGAGAUGCUCUAUAUUUUAUUUUUCUUUUCCUCAGGUGGGUAUCUUGUACCCCUAAUUCUACUGUCAGACACUUGUCCAUUUUUACCUCUUGUCUCACUUUUUUUUUGAAGUUUCGAGCACUUGCCCCUUUUUAUUUCCUCGUAUUCACUCUUUUUUUCAGAGCACUCACCCUCCUGGAAUAAUGUAGCAAGUGGUAGUAACCAAAAUAUCUCGAGCAUUUCACUACUACAAAAAACUUAACUGUGGCGGGCAUUUUUCAUUUACGAUGGCGG
rnacentral:lncRNA from 1 species